rnacentral:piRNA from 1 species
UGAAGUUCAAAUGGUGACGGCUAUGAGUGU